ensembl:lncRNA
CCGCCCGGCGCGGGGCGCGGAGCGCUGCCGAGGGUCUGCGCUCGGCGCGGCGCUCCGCCCGCGGUCCUCCCGCCCUCCCGGCCGCGGCUCCGGCUUCGGCUCCCGCACGGAGGCUCCCGGGGCGCGCCGCUCUAACGUGAAUCCGCGGCGGGAGCCGCUGGGCUGCGGGCUGCUCCCUUUGAAACGGCGGCUCCCGCUGUCGGCGUGCGCGUGGCGGCGGGGCACGGCCGCACACACCGAGCGCUGCCCGCGGCCCCUCCGCGCCUCCGGCUGCGGGCUCACGGCGGAGCGCUACCCACGGCCACGCACGCACACGCCGUCGGCCUCAGUUCGAGAGCGGCGAUAGAUGGGUGGCCUCGUGCCGAGGCACCGCGCGGCGCUAGCCCGGCCAGAUGCUUCCUCCCGUCCGACAGCGGUGCCGCCGAGGCAUCGGCUGCGGCGCAAGGCUCUCCCGAGCCAGGUGUGAGAGAGGCAAAGCCCCAUUGAAGACAAUGACAGUAGUUCUGUGCUGCAUGGGGAGUUAAACACCGAGCACUGCAGCAGCGUUCGUUUGGAGCAGUGUGUUUCUUAGAGCCGGGAAGGUCUGAGUGGAGGCAAAUGCAAACAGGAGCCUGCCCUUAGCCCACUGAAAGAGUUCACUGACCUCUCGUCUGCUGCACUGAAGCCUGCAGGAACCCUGGCAUAACUGACUGAAGGUCACUGUCCAUUCCUAUCCGCAUCGAUGCAGACUAGGGCUUUGGAGUGGUUGGAAAAGUAAACCAUAUCUUAGGUGCUAGAGGAGAUCAAACCUCAACAUGGACUCCUGAUGUUUUAUUUUGAUUUUCAAUACAGUUUCCUUUAUUCUGUGCUUGAUACCAGACUGAAGACUGAUUUUAGCAAUGUUUCCAAUUGCUUGUUUAUACUAAUGUCACACUGAGAUAUCCAGUGACUAACCACUGUGAAUCUUUGUCAGACAGCAGGAUGUCACCGAGUGGAAGCAGGAACAGGUGUUCUGGGAGGAGUAUAGGGAUGCUUCUGGGCUGUGUAGGGAUGGGAUCAGACAGGUCAAGACCCAGCUGGAACUGGACUUUAGCAAAGAACAAGAAAGGCUUGUUCAGUUCAGAAGGUUAGAACUGGGGGAGCAGUGCCCCUCCCACUGUAAGCAAAGAUCAGGUUCUCUGACACCCGAGAAACCUGAACAUCUGUAAGUCUAUGGGUCCCCAUGAGAUGCAUCCCAGAGUCCUGAGGGAAUUGGCUUGAUGAUAUUUGAAGAGUAAUGGCAGGCAGGUGAAGUUCCUGAUGGCUGGAAAAAAGGCAAUGUCGCACCCAUUUUUAAGGAUAGAAAGGACAACCAAGGGAACUGCCGACCUGUCAGCCUCACCUCUGUGCUAGGGAAGAUCAUGGAGCAGAUCCUCCUGAAAGCUAUGCUAAGGAACAUGGAGGAGAGGGGUCUUCAUUUCAGCUGGGGUGGAACUGUUUUCCUCAGAGUGCCGCCAUGAUGCUGUUUUGGUUCUAGGAGAGAAACAACGUUGGUAACACACCGAUGUUCACAGCUGCUGCUAAGCAGUGUUGGACAGAGCCAAGGCUGUUCUCAGCAAAGGGCCCAAGGAGCUGGGAGGGAACAGAGUGAGGACAGCUGACUUAAACUGGCCAAAGGGAUAUUCUAUAUGUCAUAAUUAUUAUCUUUUUCAUUACCUCAGUAAAUAGUUUUAUCUCAAUCCAUGAGUUGUACUUUGUGUUUUUUCCUGAUUCUCCCCCUCAUUCCACUGGGAAGAUGGGGACUGGGCAACUGACUGUGCAGUGCUCAGCCACCUGCCAGGUUAAACCACAAGAGGGAGGUGAUGUGGGAUAACCAGCAGAGCUUCCCCAAGGGCAGGUCCUGCCUCACAGGAGGAGUCAGGGAGGUGAUCCUGCCCCUCUGCUCUGCACUGUGAGGCCUCACCUGGAGCACCGCAUCCAGACAUGGAGCCUUCAGUACAGGAGAGACAUGGAGCUUUCAGAGCAUGUCCAGAGGAGGGCCACAAAAAUGAUCCCAGGAUGAAACACCUCUCCUACAGGACAGGCUGAGAGAGCUGGGGCUGUGCAGCAUGGAGAAGGGAGGGCUGCAGGGAGAGCUGAGAGCGGCCUGUCAGUAUCUAAAGGUGAGCUGUAAGGAGAGAACAGUCUCUUUAGCAGGGUCUGUUAGGAGAGGACAAGGGGAAAUAGUUUCAUAAAAGAGGGGAGAUUUAGAUUGGAUAUAAGAAGGAAGUUUUUUACAAUAGGAGUGCUGAGGCACUGGCACAGGUUGCCCAGAGAUGUUGUGGUGGCCCUGUCCUGGACAUAUUCAAGGUCAGGCUGGAUGUGGCUCUGAGCACCCGAUAGAGCUGGGUGUCCCCGUUCAUCACGGGGGAGUUGGACCAGAUGGCCCUUUAAGGUCCCUUCCUACUCAAAAGAAUCUGUGAUUCUAAUACAAGCAAAUACAAAAGCUGUGCUUGACAUUUCAGAGGAAUCCAGCUGAUCUAGGACUAUAAACUCCACUGAUUUGCAGUGAUUUUUACAUUCCUGAGUCACGUCAGGUACACUUGAAAGGUCUGUUUUGUACAUUUCCUCACAGUAGUUCAUGUUUGUGAAGGCAUUAACUCUGAAUUCAUGGAGCUGAUGUCAGUCUUAAGCUAGUUAAGUUACUUAAACCUGAUUUACAUUCAGCCACUUUCCUAGUCAAAAGGAACACAGACAGAUAAGCCACCUCUCAUGAUUUCUUCAUGGUAAGGCUUUGCUAGGAGUGAGAUAGAAAGAUGAGAGCUCUUCUUACAGACAGCAUCACAAAAUAUACACAAAUUUUGCAAGUGCACUUGAAACAUAUUUUAUCACUGCUUGCUGCUCUCUGCUGCAUGCCUAUAUCUUAAACUAAAGAUCUAACAAAGCAUGCUUCCUUCUGUCCCACAGAUAUGCUUUCCCUGCAGAGGAGCUGGGAGCAGUUGCUUUGGUUGGGCUUUGAGUAAGAAGUGCUGACACAAAGCCAUGCUGCUUACAGUGCUGUAUGCUCACCUGGAACUCCCAAAGUCCUCAGCUGGUGCCCAGCACAGCAGCCUGUCCCUGUCCCGCUCCUUCCAAGUCAUUGUGAAAUGCAAGGAGUAAACAUUCCGAGCUCUUAGCCUGCAUCACACCUCUACCAGCACUGACAGCAAGCAGCAUUCAGGCUUAGCACUUAGACCUGGUGAUGGGACAGGGCUGCCAGGUGUAAAUUACUAACACAUACCUCAAGGUUUAUGUAUUUGCAGCUAGGAAUUCAAAGAAGAGCAAUCUCCGAGUUAAUAGUGAAGUGAGGAUGAACUCAGAGCGAGAGCAGGCAGCUUAUUACAGAAAACCACCCAUGACAAAACAGCAGUAAGAGAUGUGAAAACCACACAUCUCUUCUGCCACCAAAACCUCAGUGCAGUACUUCUCUCAAAGCCCAGUCAAUAAAUACCCACUUUAUUAGGCAGGGGGAGUCUAAAGGCUUCUCAACACAGAAACUCCUCUGGUUUACUGUGAGCUGGCAAAGCUUGGCUAACUAAAGCAGUAAAAAGUCCUCUUUAAACAUUUGCAGACCCUAAGAAAUCCUUCAGUAAAGGCACCUAAAAAGAAGUUCUACUACUGAGCAUAAAAAAAAAAAAAAAAAGUGUAUUUACUUUGUUUCCUAAGGAUAAGCUCCCUGUUCCCUUGAGUAGGUUGAAAUAAACCACUUACUGUGUUCAUUCCAAUGUGGAUUUUUCCCUGUUGCUCUGGCUGAUUAGGACAAGUGGGCACGCCAUGCUCUCAUUCACAUUGGUGGUAUGGAUGGGAGCUUGUAGCAUACACCAAGUAAAGACUGAGGAGUCACGAGCCAUAGGAUUUAGCAGUUGCCUUGUCGUAUCAGUGCUCAGACCUACAGCAAAGUGUAGAGCGGGAGCUUAUAGACUUAUUUUGCACCUCCACUGCUGUUAGCAGCUGCAGUAGCUGUUCCCAACCAUACACACAUGCACAGAGUGGGAGUACAGACUGCUGUACCAUAACUGCAGAUGGUAAACUGCAACGUCUGUCAUGACCUUGAAAUGCUGGGAAAGAUCCUAGCUGAGCUCUCAAAGUACAGGAAUGCCAACAAGUUGGAGGCUGGGACCGCAGCCUAAGCAUCUAUAGUUUCUAGGGUAUUAACCUGCCUGAGGGAGGGGUAGUGGGCCCACAGGGAAGGCACAAGAUGUCAGCUGCUCCUUAUUCAAACUCCUUUUUUUUUCCUACUUGCAUCACAACAGCUGCCAGACGAUGCUGUCUGGGAUUGAUGAAAAGGACAGGCUUAUUUGUUGGUGGCAUAUUAUUAGCAUUGUUACCCAUUGCUAUAUGGGGAUUAAAUAAAUGCAAGGGGAGCUUGGUUUCAACGAGAUUUUACAUCCCUCAGCCUCUGUCUGACGCAGCAGCUGUCCGCUGUGACAUGCCUGUUAGCAGCAAGCAAGUGCCAGCCUUUCAGCUUUGCUCUGCAAAACCCUCAAAGCUCAAAUGGGACACAACCUCUGGAUUGCUGGGAGGGAUAUGAGUGUCACAUAUCUGGAAACACGAGGACGGUGGUCCCGUCCUGGAAGGAAGUCAGUGCAGCCAGCAAAGUUUCUGCAUAUCGACCCUGUCUGCAUCCAGAACAGGUGUCCAGGCAGUCAGAAAAUGGGGCUGGCAUCAUUUCAGCCUGGGUGGCUCAGCAGCCUUCAGCAGUGACCUGGAGUUUUGCUCUUGGCCAAACUGGCUGGUGUGCAGUUUUUACGUGCACAUAUAAAUGGCACGUGAACACAUGCACUGUUUCUUAAUGUUCUGUACCACCCAUUCCUUGAUCCUUAUACAAAAACUGACCGCUUAGUUUGGGAACAGUAAUUCCAAAACAAACAUACUUAUAGGAUUCUGACCUGAGAUCUCUGUGUGAUCCUCCAGGGAGACAGCUAAUUGGAACAGUCAUUCAUCCUUCUGUGCUGCUGUGGUGAUGUUACUGGUGAGCAGACUCAGAGGGAUGCUGAAGUUCAGGGGAGCUAAGAGACACACACAAGUGUAACUAACCACUUUCCCCUUUAAGUCCCAAAUUAAGAAGCUAUGAAUGAAGACAGUAAACUGAAAGCUAUACAAUAAGCUGGCUACAUAGCAAUUGUAUGCUCACAGAUACUCAGUUAAAUGGGAAAUGUGUGCGAUUCAGCUCUUUGAAAGCUUUCAGACGAAGUCAACCACCUGAAAAGUACCAGGAUUUUGAAGUAUACUGCUUAAUGGAUUAAAAAAAAAAAAAAGGGAAAGGAAAGAAAUUGACUGGCAAAGCAGACCUGCAGACAAUCACAGUCCACAGAAUCAGCUUUCAGUUACGCCUCUUCCCCGCAGCGCAGCAGAGGAGCUGUGGACUUGACAAACAGAAGUCAGAAUGUUUUCCAAAUGACAAAAAGCUGCUGGCUUAAAAACCCCUUAUUGUGGGAAAAAAAAAAUAGACUGUGCAGAAAUAAUAAUAAUAACAAUCUUCAUUUUGUAAUAUUAGGAGCACCACACAUUGAGGUCAGCAGGAAAGGGAAUGGGAAGAAGCUGCAUGCCAGCUGCUCCAUGCAGAACCUUGUCCUAGAUUCGAUUCCUUGGCACAGACAGCUCCAGUUACCUGCUUCCUCCUCUGUCACUGCAAUUCAUUCUAUUUUGAAGUGUUUGCUGCAGUAAAAUCUCCUGCCUCACUGUCCCAUGUCAAGAGGAAGAAAGCUUUGUACCCACAGCCAUGCACAGGCAGAGCUGCAGGAGAGAGCGCCAUGUCGCUCCGUUGCUCACUGUACUGCUUUUCAACCACUGGAUGAUGCUGGAUGGAAACAGGAGCAAUUCCAAGGCAGUACAAUGGGAUGUAAGCAGGAAGAGACAGCCCUGCCAAUUUCUGUAUGUUUGAAAGAAAAGCAGAGCAUGUGCACUCUGCUGUUGGAAGCCCAACAACUUAUUAGCAGUAAAAUAUACAUUGGAAAAAAAGAAAGUGACUGCCAGUUAAUUUACCACGUAUUAACCUCUUCUCCUAAAGCACUUACUGUACAACUGUUCAAACAAUUGGAGUUUAAAUGUUGCUGAGGCCUCUUCUUUUAAUUAGCCUUUGUAUGUCUCUUCUUCUUCCUCCAGUCUGCCUCCUCACUUCCUUGCACUGCAGUGGGGAUUAAAAUCCUUGUGACAGAGGCUGCCUUGUCCGAGGCUUUGUCACAGACCGUGCAGUGCCUGCACUAACGAUGAGAUGUCAGUGCCAUCUUUCCCAGGAGAAGUGGAUGUGCAAGAACUGCACUCUGUGAUGAAAACCCAACUCUAAUGUUGCUUUCCUUAAUUGAAAGAGUAUUAAUCCGUUGCGAAAUGAAAUGAUGUCUGCUGGUUGGGAAAGGAGUUAUGGAAGUAUUGUUAAAAAUGGAAAAAGCUGAACUUAGGAGGCUGUGGAACGCUUUUCAAGGAAAAUGACUUCUUAGAAUUGAGCUUCCUAGAUUUGAUGGGAGUUGUCAUCAAAAGGCUACAAGGCAGAAGAUCAUGUUCUCUAACGCUGAUGGAAACGGAUACAUGCCCAGCUGUGUUUGCCAUGGGAACUGUGCAAGACAGACCUUAAGCACUUCCCAACAGUAUGUAAGGGACUCUUGGGGAACAAGCCUGACCUUAAGGGAAAGGUAUGCUAAGGAAGAGAAGGAGAAAUAUUUCUCCUUCUAGCGAGAAAAUUAAAGCUUUCCACGUAUCUGUCACUUUGGUAACCUCCUGGAAGACAACUCCUGGGAGUGCUGAGAUAAGAAUCUCUGAACAGAAAUGUGCACUGCUGAUACUACUCUUACAAUGGAAAUGGCCUUAAAAUGAGUUCACAUCGGCUUGAUGUUGUUUGAAAUAAAAGUAUUACUCUUUCCAGUCAGUGCUUGGCAGUGUAGUGAAAUUUAUUAGAACAGUUUCCAGUGCGGAUACUCUUCUAUAAAAAAAAAUGAUUUGCUUUGGAGUAAUCAGUUUGCUUCAAAUACAAAUGCAGAGUAGUUUGCUUUGAUGUAAACCUCUCCCCACAGCUAUUUCUCUAGACUGGUGUCCAGACAGGAAGGACAUCCUGGCAUUCUUCUUGUGGUCAUUCACUACCUCUACACAGAAGCUGUUAGCUUAUUUAGGAAGUGGAAGAGAUUGCAGGAGUGCUCCAUUUUUAGGGAGAACCACUUUAUGAAUAAUGUGUGUCUUCUGUGUGAGAGUCUGGGGCUGUGUCAGGGCUAUACCACUGUAUCAUUUCAGCAGAGACACCGACAGUUGGCUACAUGUAUGCUUUAUUCAUCUUUGAAAUGCAAAACAACGGGAAAAAUUAGGGCUGUUGAGAAGCAAAAGCCACGUUGGGUAAUUGCAGCACACUGGAGCGUUUUUAAUCCAGCGUUUCCUCUGCUCCUGCUGCUGGUUUGCCAGGCUAACAGUGCACUUCUUCAUCAGGGAAGAGCCAUGGGGAGCACGGUGUUUUCUCUUAGUCUGAGAUACAAAACCAGAAAUCAUAAACAGAUUUUGUACACUGGAGCAAAAGCUUUAACAAGGCACGACAAGUGCACUUGCCUAUGGCUUCCCUUGGAGGAAUACAGGAACCCUUCUGAUGAGUGCUGGUGCCACCUCUGCAAAGAAUCUGAAUGUUCUCAGUGAAGGAGAAACCAGAAGAGGUUGUGAAUGUCUUGUUCUUUGGGUAAUCCAGACAAACAUGCUGGGAAACAUUCCACGCCAUGCCUGGAAGCAACUGAAAUCUUGGAGAAGGUUUUGUGCUGGUUUUAUAGAAGCCUAAAUGAGUUGUGGUUAGUACUUCACUCUUAGCUUGAAGGAGCAAGCAAUUGCCAGCUGAUACGGUCAAGCCUUUGUGUAGUGUUUGUUUCCACUGAGCUGGCAAGAGCUCCUUUAAAUAACUACGUGCAGUUUAUUUCAAAAGAGUAAAGAGUUCCAUAUGAAAAAGUCUAGAAACCACACAAGAAUGCAAAUGUAUCAAGAUGCUUUCAUUUGGAUAAACAUGAAAUUCCCAUCAGCAGAGAAAGAAAAGUGUGCCAUGUUUUGCUGCCACUGCUUUUUAUGCAGCCAUGCGAAAACCGUGCAGUAUCUUGGUAGAAUCCAGGCCCUCCAUUGUCUGCACCAAGCACACAAGGUCACAGCUGACACACGGCUCCAAACAACGUGCCAAGUGGGCACGCUCCAGCAGCACAGCCGUGUCAGCAGCUGUGUGCCCCAUGCUGGCAGUGCCAGCACCUCCAACGAGGAUGCUCAGCUCUGGAAGAGAACACCCAGCGGUACACAUGCUCCAGCAGCACAGCAACAGCAAAUGGAGAUCAGCAAAGCAUCUGAUGGUGAUGCCUCUUAGCGUGGAUGCAGUCUCUGCGCUGACAGUGGUGGUUACAGCGCAGGAAUCCCACCUUUACUCACACUUGUGUGGGUGUGCUGGGAGCCCGGGCAGAUGAGUCACUCUGGUAGGACAGCAGCAUUCAGCAAUGUUCGGAGGUGAUUUGAUAGCGAUGGCGCUGAGAACAGCUGUGGAAGGCUGGUUUGCAGGCAGGCCAGCAGCAGUUGGAGGGUAGCAUGCGUGUGUUGUCCAGCAGUGCUCUCUGGCAGCAGCUGCAGGAGGAACACAUCAUCUUUUCUGGCACCUCGUGCUGCUGGACUGAAAGAUGUUGCGGCAGGGGAGAUCAAAAUGGGAAAAGCAAGAAUCUUCUUUCAUUCUGUCUCCUCCCUGGUCCCUCAGGACUCUUUUCAUCAAAGAACUGCCCUUCUGGGAAAGGGUUUGGUGCAACCAUAACUAUCCCCCUAAGAAUGAUAGCCCCAGAAGUCUAAGAUACAUGGCCGUUUGUUUCUGGGGAAAUGCAAUUCAGACACAACUUUUGUGGCAUUCCCAAGGAAUGAGAUGGCAACGCGAAGAAGGAAAAUAGACAAUAUGUGCAGAGGUGUUCUGGGGACCAGCCUAAAUGAGAAGAACUUGAGCAUGAUGUGUGCCACUCUCCCUGGACAAAGGUGAGGAUGUUGAUGCUCUCCAAUGCAUUUCUUUUCUCUCAGUGCUUAUGGACCAGAGAGCUACACAUUAAACUGUAAAAAGAUCUUGCUGUAGAUCCACGUACUAACAAUUCUCAGCAGAAAACUUCACCAUAUACAAUUUUUAAUUAAAAAAAAAAAAAAAAAAAGAAGUAACACGCAUAUUGGAAUGUCCUGAAUGUCUUGAAAUGGGAGUGCACAACCAGUAACAAGAGAUCAAGACGGCUGUUUUCUGAACUGGGUUCACAAAGACAUUUGUUCAUGAGAAAUGAAAUCUAUUCUCAGUGGCUUAUGACCGCGGCUAAUGGGUGAUGAUCACAGUAACAGACCAGAAAGUAUCAUAUUGAGAAAAGCAUCGGAACUGAAGUCAUAUCACAAGGUUCUGUCAGGUCCUGUGUGACUCCCUGUGCUCUGUGGUGUGCUCGAUAAUCACCGGACCUUAUGUUCUUAAGUUUACCAACGCAGGACAAAUUUUAAGAACUUUGGGCUGUGAGACAAGAUCUGUACUGAUAAUGCUUAGCCUGAACCAUCUACAUCCCAGAAUUCAUGCUGUUUUGCCAUAGACCUACGUGAAGCCCAAGCCCUGCGCUCCUUGCGCUCCAGCAGCUUCAUGGACAGAAAACGCAGACACGUGCACACAUGUGGCUUUGCUUUAGAUACUUCCAUAUCCAGUUUUGACCAUAUUUUGCUCAAAUUUACUUUGUUCUUCUCACAGACGCUAUCAUGGGAGAGAAUAAAGGGCAGGUUAGUUAUUAUUUAAUGUUUUCCUCAAAAGAACAACUACUUUGCUUUCUAAACAGACAAAGCUGUUAUUGCAGCAAAAAUAAUGUCACACAAACCAGCCUGGUCAGCUGUGAGCCCAUGGCAUCUUCGAGUUGGCAACUGAUGCAACUCAUCAAGAAAGGCAUAACGGAAGAUUCUCAUUUCUGUGAACUACCCUGAUCUUUCCAGUAUGACAAACUAAACCUUUGGACUAAAACACCCUUUGAUUCAGCAUUCUUGGAGACAAAUCUGUUCUUCAUGAAAUGCAACAAGCUUGUUUCCCCUUUAACCUUUUUAUAUUAUCAUACUAAUUGUCUUUUUUUUUUUUUCCUGAAUAAGAAAAUGAAGCCAUCUCAAAUUAACAGACCUUCAUAAUACAGCAAAAAAGAGAAAGGAAUACAUCUUUCUGUUGAGCAGCCGAGCAGUCGUACAGCCUCAGCGUAUUUAUUUUUUAUUCUUCUUCUUUAGAUUCCUGCCAUCUUUUGACCUUGUCCUAAUCUCUCUUGAACUCAACCUUUAAAAAGAACAGAGAGUUCUGUUUAGCUAUCUGGAGUUUUGCAUCACUACUCAUUUUUUAGCAGUGCAUCCUGUUGAUAUACCAUGAGUCAGUUGGUUUUCCAUCUGAAUAUUUUUGAUAUUUUCUUAGCAGCUCAUCUAACAUCAGACACUGGGUCUAAAAAUCACUGAGAUCAAACUUGAGUUGUUGCUCAUUUUCAACGGGUUUUGUAUUUGAUUAACAUUAAAAACCCUCUGGCCAUAGACCUCAAAUAAAUACCCCCUGCUGAUAUUAGCAGUAAAUGCAUAUAAUUUUAAUCAAGAUAAAAGUUAUUCUUGGGGAAGCUGGACAUUGAACACUGCAUCAACUGCUCAUAGUACUGCAUCUUUGGGCCCUUAAGCUUUCCUCAUUUUUUGCACGUUGCAGCACCAGCCUCUUCCUUACACUCUGUUGAGCACCAUGGGCACAAACUUUCCCUUACUGUCAGAGCAGGACCCCGCUGCCUUGCUGGUGGUGUGGUGCUCUGGUAUCCAAAGGGCUGUAUUGGCCAGGAGUCCAACCAUGUGAACACUUCGGGUUUUCUGUCAAUCUCUCCAAGAACAGGUGCCCAUCAUUUCAGUUUUCAAAACACCACUGCAUUCACCUGUUUAAUUCUGCACACCCAAUUUGUCUCUAGUUGCUUGCUUUCACUUAUACAUGUCUACUUCCUUCCUCCUGUUCUGUAUUCCCAGGUUUUGAAGGGCUCUGAUGGAAGUCAGUAUUGCAUCUCUGAGUAACAGAAACUUCUCCUUUUAAUCUGUGCCACCAGUUUCCUUGUGAUUUUGCUUUUGGAUGUUGUGUUGAGGGACGUGGUUUAGCGAGAACCAUUGGUGAUGGGCGAAUGGUUGGACUGGAUGAUCCUGUGGGUCUUUUCCAGCCUUAGUGAUUCUAUGAUUCUAUGAUUUCCAUCACAGACACGUAACACUUGCAUCUGUUCACUUCUGCAUGGAAUUGUUGUAUUUGUAAGUAAUUUUUUUCUAUUCCGUCAUGGUUUUGAUUCCCAGAUAACAUUCCAGUCUCACUUCCUUGUUGGGAUGCUAUCAGCUCACCAAACUCCAUCCUCUAGGUUGUGUUUCCUCCGUUCUGACAUCUGACUGCUUUAGUUCAGCCUCCAUCAUUCCUUGCACCCUUUGCAGUGAGGCUGGCCUUUUAGCAGCAUUCUGAUGGAUGGAAUAUGACUUGCAUUUCACUCUUGAUGCAAUUUAGGAGACAGCAGUUUGAGACACUGGCAAACUUGGCAAUAAAAUGCCAAUUAGCUUUGACUUAACACAGUGUAAUAAUGCAGUGCUUGAAAUGCCCAAUAUUCUCCUAACUAUUCUCUUUCCUGUUAUUGAAUUGCAUCCAUUUAGACCCAUUAUGUCCUCUUGAUAAAGAGAUUAUGCAGUCCAUUCCCUCUGUGCUUACUCCAUGGUUCUCAGGGGGGAUUUCACAGGCUCUUCUGAGCUCCACUCUUUCAUAACCAGAUGCUCUGACAUGAGAACCAGCUCAUUUACAGCAAACUCGGAUGUAUCCAUCCUCCAAGCAUACAACAGAAUGAAUCUGAGGCAUAGUCUACUGACAAAAACAAGUUACAACAAGGGAAAUUCAAACUGAGUAUUAGGAAAAGAUAAAAAUGAGCAUGGUGAUAUACUGGGACAGGCAGCCCCAGAGUGGUUGUGGAGUCACCACCCUUGGAGGUGCACAAAACUUGACCGAAUUGGCCCCAAGCAAACACAUCUAAGUUUGAGGUUGGUCCUGCUUUAGGCAGGGGUUUGGGCUGGAUGACCUCCUGAGGUUCUUGCCAACAUAAAUGAUAGGAUUCUAUUGUAAAAAUAGUGUAAAUCCAACAUGAAGACAGAUGUGAUAUGAAUAUAUUCCUUAUUUGCCUGCCUCAACUAAAAUACCCAUUGAGUGGGAGAGAUUAGAUAGACAUCUAAUUUAGGCAUGUGAAUCAACCUCUGAAGUUUCUAUUUUAACUGUACCAUAAACUUGGGUGUCUGAGCACAGAUGCUGCCGACUGCUGCUGAGAUACAUCAACAGCCUAAAGCAGAUGGGAAAAACACUCCAAUCUUUCCCCUUACUGGGCAGUCGUAUUUCAAACUAUAUCUAUAACAACAUUAUAUUAGAAUUGUACCUGAUAUGACAGCCUUAAGUUCAACCGUAAUCAAGCCCCAGAAUAUGGACUAUGAAAAAGGCCAUUCAGGAGUCACAGGAUACUUAAGAGCAUGGCUAUUCUCUUCCUAAAUUCAGGCAAAAUAAAAUCCUUCUUCUUGUUAUUACAUCUCCACAGAUAAAACAGUCCAUGCAAAGCUACACACGCUUUGACUGCAGUGCCCCACUUCUAUGGACUGCCUCUAUCUCUACAAAGCAGUUUGUAUAUCACCCAGCCAUUUCUCUGAUGAAGGAGGAAAGAAAAUACAGAAAUGAGGCAUGAGAAGAUGAAGCUCAUGCAGCCUGGGAGGGCUUCGUGCUCACUGAAGCACAGCGCUCUACAGAGCCUUGAACAAAUCCCUGUAUUUUCUUACACUACAUCUCUUUUGAAAGCAAAUAUUUCCAAAGAUCAAAAUGGAAGUAAUUUCUCAUUUUCAAGUUGCAAAUUAUUUGUGUGAAUGAAGAAAAUAUGGCUUCACCUUGUCAUCCUAGAUGAUAGGGGACAUUAUCUGCAUUACAGAAAGGAUCUCAGAAACGUACAGAUUAAGCUGGGAACUAUUAUCAAAUUCCAUCAGUCUCGAGUUACAGUCCUGAUGUGAUUUAUACAAAGUCCCAAAGGUGUCAUCAGUGGAACCUCAGCCACCUGACAGGUGCUGCUCACAUAAGUAAUACCGAAGAAGGAAGAUAUUAAGACACACUGAAACUACGUAAAUAACACCUGUGCUACCAUUCUCUUGGAGUACCAAAACUUCAGUGUCUGAAGAAAUUCCAGGAGUAUGGGUUAUAAUUAAUUCCUCUUUCCUUUUUUUUUUUUGGUCUGAAUAAAGUCAGAAUUGUUGGGAAAGGUGGUAAGCAAGAAC